rnacentral:rRNA from 1 species
CCUACGGGAUGCUGCAGUGGGGAAUAUUGGACAAUGGGCGAAAGCCUGAUCCAGCCAUGCCGCGUGUGUGAAGAAGGCCUUCGGGUUGUAAAGCACUUUCAGUGGGGAAGAAAGCCUUGGGGCUAAUACCCUCGAGGAAGGACAUCACCCACAGAAGAAGCACCGGCUAACUCCGUGCCAGCAGCCGCGGUAAUACGGAGGGUGCGAGCGUUAAUCGGAAUUACUGGGCGUAAAGCGAGCGUAGGCGGUCUGAUAAGCCGGUUGUGAAAGCCCCGGGCUCAACCUGGGAACGGCAUCCGGAACUGGCAGGCUAGAGUGCAGGAGAGGAAGGUAGAAUUCCCGGUGUAGCGGUGAAAUGCGUAGAGAUCGGGAGGAAUACCAGUGGCGAAGGCGGCCUUCUGGACUGACACUGACGCUGAGGUGCGAAAGCGUGGGUAGCAAACAGGAUUAGAUACCCGGGUAGUC